CAAUUUCCGAAUAUGUUGGACAAUAUAAAGGGCGUAGCUGCUAUUUGUUCUUAGAGGUUAACCUACACUCAAUCAAAAUGAAGUUCGUAGUAUUUGUUAUUGUCGCCUUAGCUGCAGUCUUCUGGUCUCCAGUAGCUGCGCAAUUUUGCGAAGCACCAUAUUCAUGUGUGAACCUUUGCGUAUUCGGUGCCGGUCCCGGAAUCUGCCCAUCUGGACAGACUUGCUGCGGGUUGGGAUUAGGAGGAAAGUAAUGGACAUCGGGACCCUGGCCAUCUUGUAACAAAUAAUCCACGCAUGUUUAGUUUUUUAUUUACAUUUCACGAUUCAUUUACCUAAAUGCUUCCAAAUUGUAUUUUCUAACAGUGCUGCUGAAUGGAUUUUUGAGACGAACAUUCUACAAUAAAUUGCAAUUUAUGAAA